rnacentral:rRNA from 1 species
CCUACGGGAGGCAGCAGUGGGGAAUAUUGCGCAAUGGGCGAAAGCCUGACGCAGCGACGCCACGUGAGGGAUGAAGGUCUUCGGAUCGUAAACCUCUGUCAGCAGGGAAGAACGGUCACUGUGCUAAUCAGCAGUGAAUUGACGGUACCUGCAAAGGAAGCACCGGCUAACUCCGUGCCAGCAGCCGCGGUAAUACGGAGGGUGCGAGCGUUAAUCGGAAUUACUGGGCGUAAAGCGCUCGUAGGCGGUAUGGCAAGUCAAGGGUGAAAUCCCCGCGCUCAACGUGGGAACUGCCUUUGAAACUGGCAGACUGGAGUUUGUGAGAGGAUAGUGGAAUUCCAGGUGUAGGAGUGAAAUCCGUAGAUAUCUGGAGGAACAUCAGUGGCGAAGGCGACUAUCUGGCACAUAACUGACGCUGAGGAGCGAAAGCGUGGGUAGCAAACAGGAUUAGAUACCCGUGUAGUC